rnacentral:rRNA from 1 species
GACGAACGCUGGCGGCGUGCUUAACACAUGCAAGUCGAACGAGACCUUCGGGUCUAGUGGCGGACGGGUGCGUACGGCGUGGGAACCUGCCCUUAGGUUCGGAAUAAUUCCCCGAAAGGGGUGCUAAUACCGGAUAAUGUCAUCGGACCAAAGAUUUAUCGCCUUUGGGUGGGCCCGCGUUGGUUUAGCUAGUUGGUAGGGUAAAAGCCUACCAAGGCGACGAUCCAUAGCUGGUCUGGGAGGAUGAUCAGCCACACUGGGACUGAGACACGGCCCAGACUCCUACGGAAGGCAGCAGUGGGGAAUAUUGGACGCUGGGCGAAAGCCUAAUCCAGCAAUGCCGCGUGAGUGAUGAAGGCCUUAGGGUUGUAAAGCUCUUUUACCCGGGAUGAUAAUGACAGUACCGGGAGAAUAAGCUCCGGCUAACUCCGUG